UAGGUUAACGAGGCGAACCGGGGGAACUGAAACAUCUAAGUACCCCGAGGAAAAGAAAUCAACCGAGAUUCCCCCAGUAGCGGCGAGCGAACGGGGAGCAGCCCAGAGUCUGAAUCAGCUUGUGUGUUAGUGGAACGGUCUGGAAAGUCCGACGGUACAGGGUGAUAGUCCCGUACACCAAAAUGCACAGGCUGUGAACUCGAAGAGUAGGGCGGGACACGUGGUAUCCUGUCUGAAUAUGGGGGGACCAUCCUCCAAGGCUAAAUACUCCUGACUGACCGAUAGUGAACCAGUACCGUGAGGGAAAGGCGAAAAGAACCCCGGCGAGGGGAGUGAAAAAGAACCUGAAACCGUGUACGUACAAGCAGUGGGAGCACCUUCGGGUGUGACUGCGUACCUUUUGUAUAAUGGGUCAGCGACUUAUAUUCUGUAGCAAGGUUAACCGUAUAGGGGAGCCGCAGGGAAACCGAGUCUUAACUGGGCGUUAAGUUGCAGGGUAUAGACCCGAAACCCGGUGAUCUAGCCAUGGGCAGGUUGAAGGUUGGGUAACACUAACUGGAGGACCGAACCGACUAAUGUUGAAAAAUUAGCGGAUGACUUGUGGCUGGGGGUGAAAGGCCAAUCAAACCGGGAGAUAGCUGGUUCUCCCCGAAAGCUAUUUAGGUAGCGCCUCGUGAAUUCAUCUUCGGGGGUAGAGCACUGUUUCGGCUAGGGGGUCAUCCCGACUUACCAACCCGAUGCAAACUACGAAUACCGAAGAAUGUUAUCACGGGAGACACACGGCGGGUGCUAACGUCCGUCGUGAAGAGGGAAACAACCCAGACCGCCAGCUAAGGUCCCAAAGUCAUGGUUAAGUGGGAAACGAUGUGGGAAGGCACA
rnacentral:rRNA from 1 species